rnacentral:rRNA from 1 species
GAUGAACGCUAGCGGCAGGCUUAAUACAUGCAAGGCGAAGGGGCAGCAAUGUCACUGUCGUACGGGUGCGUAACGCGUAUGCAACCUACCUAUCACUGGGGAUAGCCCGGGGAAACCCGGAUUAAUACCGCAUAAAACAGGGGCACCGCAUGGUGAUAUUUGUUAAAGAUUUAUUGGUGAUAGAUGGGCAUGCGUUCGAUUAGCUAGUUGGCGGGGUAACGGCCCACCAAGGCGACGAUCGAUAGGGGAGCUGAGAGGUUGAUCCCCCACACGGGCACUGAGAUACGGGCCCGACUCCUACGGGAGGCAGCAGUAGGGAAUAUUGGGCAAUGGAUGCAAGUCUGACCCAGCCAUGCCGCGUGCCGGAUGAAGGCCCCUCAGGGUUGUAAACGGCUUUUUAUUCGGGAAGAAGAGCAGGGAUGCGUCCUUGUGUGACGGUACCGAAUGAAUAAGCACCGGCUAACUCCGUGCCAGCAGCCGCGGUAAUACGAGGGNGCGGCGUUGUCCGGAUUUAUUGGGUUUAAAGGGNGCGUAGGUGGCUGUUUAAGUCAGUGGUGAAAUACGGUUGCUCAACAAUCGAGGUGCCAUUGAUACUGAAUAGC